AAACUGCGAUACGUAGUGUGAAUUGCAGAAUUCAGUGAAUCAUCGAAUCUUUGAACGCAAAUUGCGCUACUGGGUAUUCCCGGUAGCAUGCUUGGCUGAGUAUCAUCUGGAUAAAUCACAAAAAAGUUUUUUUGUGGAAAUGAGGCGUCACAUUUUUUUUAAAAAAAAUGGGUCCCUUUAAAUUUAGUGCGGUGGAAAACAUGGAUAUUAAACCUGUCCUUUUGUACCAACUAGUGUGUUAAUUGUCCGUUUUGGGCAUCUUAUUAUACGCUAUGCUUGGGAACAAGGACGUUUAAAAAAGGGUUUAAUAUCUCUUUUUGCCUUUUAAAUACCCAACUCUCCUUUUGAAACUUUGAUCUCAGCUCAAGCAAGACUACCCGCUGAAUUUAA
rnacentral:misc_RNA from 1 species